CUUCGGUUGCGCUUAUCGACGGUGUGGCAAUCAGAGCGCGGUAAAUCUCGAUAAAUGGCGGUAAAACGUUUUUCAUUGUUGACACACCUCAGGUCAUGAUAGUAUCAAUAUUCAUGCAUUAAUUAUGAAUAAAAAUACAUUAACGUUGAGCAUAAAGGAACCCGAUGUUGAAUACGCUGAUUGUAGGCGCUAGCGGUUAUGCGGGCGCAGAGCUUGUAAGCUACGUAAAUCGCCACCCACAUAUGACCAUAACCGCUUUGAAA
rnacentral:sRNA from 1 species